AUUGAACGCUGGCGGCAGGCCUAACACAUGCAAGUCGAGCGAGCGGCGGACGGGUGAGUAAUGUAUGGGGACUGCCCGAUAGAGGGGGAUAACUACUGGAAACGGUGGCUAAUACCGCAUACUAUCGGAUGACCCAUAGGGGAUAAGCUGGUAGGUGUGGUAAUGGCUCACCAAGGCGAUGAUCCCUAGCUGGUCUGAGAGGAUGAUCAGCCACACGGGGACUGAGACACGACCGAGACUCCUACGGAGUGAGCAGUGGGGAAUAGUGCACAAUGGGCGCAAGCCUGAUGCAGCCAUGCCGCGUGUAUGAAGAAGGCCCGAGGGUUGUAAAGUACUUUCAGUCGGGAGGCGUUACCGACAGAAGAAGCACGGGCUAACUCCGUGCCAGCAGCCGCGGUAAUUC
rnacentral:rRNA from 1 species